rnacentral:rRNA from 1 species
UACGAGGGGUCCUAGCGUUGUUCGGAAUCAUUGGGCGUAAAGAGUAUGUAGGCGGCCUUGUAAGUCAGGUGUGAAAGCCCCGGGCUCAACCCGGGAAGUGCACUUGAUACUGCUUGGCUUGAAUGUUGGAGAGGGUAGUAGAAUUCCAGGUGUAGUGGUGAAAUACGUAGAUAUCUGGAGGAAUACCGGUGGCGAAGGCGGCUAUCUGGCCAAACAUUGACGCUGAGAUACGAAAGCGUGGGUAGCAAACAGG